UACGUAGGGGGCGAGCGUUGUCCGAAGUUACUGGGCGUAAAGCGCGCGUAGGCGGCUUCUUAAGUUUGAGGUGAAAGGCUCAGCGCUCAACGUGAGCAGUGCCUUGAAUACUGGGGAGCUUGAAUGUGGCAGAGGGGCGUGGAAUUUCGGGUGUAGCGGUGAAAUGCGUAGAUAUCCGGAGGAACACCGGUGGCGAAGGCGGGGCUCUGGGCUAUCAUUGACGCUGAGGUGCGAAAGCGUGGGGAGCGAACGGG
rnacentral:rRNA from 1 species